UCGAACGAGACCUUCGGGUCUAGUGGCGCACGGGUGCGUAACGCGUGGGAAUCUGCCCAAAGGUUCGGAAUAACUCAGGGAAACUUGAGCUAAUACCGGAUAAUGUCUUCGGACCAAAGAUUUAUCGCCUUUGGAUGAGCCCGCGUCGGAUUAGCUAGUUGGUGAGGUAAAAGCUCACCAAGGCAACGAUCCGUAGCUGGUCUGAGAGGAUGAUCAGCCACACUGGGACUGAGACACGGCCCAGACUCCUACGGGAGGCAGCAGUGGGGAAUAUUGGACAAUGGGCGAAAGCCUGAUCCAGCAAUGCCGCGUGAGUGAUGAAGGCCUUAGGGUUGUAAAGCUCUUUUACCCGGGAUGAUAAUGACAGUACCGGGAGAAUAAGCUCCGGCUAACUCCGUGCCAGCAGCCGCGGUAAUACGGAGGGAGCUAGCGUUG
rnacentral:rRNA from 1 species